UGAGGGAUUUUUCAUUCUUAUUAUUUCAAAGAGCUUUAGGUAAAACUACUCAUUGAACCCACUUAGUAUAGAAUUAGGAGUUUAAUGUUCAAAUUUUAGGAUGUUACUCCUCGCAUCUCGCAAUAUUUUGCUUUCUUAUCUCUGACAAAGUCUCCUAAUAAUGAGCACUCUCCUAUAUUAAGUGUAACCACUUAAUGGUUUG
rnacentral:lncRNA from 1 species